GUCAGGGUGGCCGAGCGGUCCAAGGCGCUGCGUUCAGGUCGCAGUCCGGUUCUCCGGGCGUAGGUUCGAAUCCCACUUCUGACA
rnacentral:tRNA from 1 species